CUGAGAUAGCAGCAGUUUGCUGGAAUAUGUUAUGGUGAAGUACGUUUCUGUUGGAUAGAGAGUGAUUACCAAUAAGUAAAAACGCUGGUCGAAGGGUAUGGUUGGCAUGGAAUUGAAUUUCAUCUGUCUGUGGGAAUUGUAAACAAGGUUGCCAUCACGAAAGCCAAGGUGGAUUUCUCCAGUGUAGUGUGCCUGCCCCCU